CGCCCGACCACAGCAAGGAGAGGACCAUGUGAAUGGGCUCCGGUGCCUGGCGCCGCGCAGUGUUUUGAAGAAGCAGGAUGCUGAUCUAGACGCGGAAAAGGCAAGUUGACUAACUUUGCUCUGAGAGCAAAGUGUUUUCUGUUGGAAUCCAAGAUGAAGUCUGUUUUGAAUUUGGGAUUGCCAAUUCUGAGGGAUGAAACUCUAAUAUAAAAUAGCAAACUUUAGCUCAGUUACGUGAACCUACUAUUUUCUCCCUUAGUUGUAAAAAUUUUGGCAAUGAUGGGCACAUAUGUUUAUGCUGUAAAGUCUAUCUCCCGAAGCCAGAAAUAGAGUGGAACCAGAGCCGAUGCACUGUUAAGCUGGUAAGGGGAGGGACAGUGUCAGACUGACUCAGGGGGAACCCACUAGUCCGUUCGUUCUUGAUUUUUCAUCUAUUCCAAUGACUGUUGUUUCUCACCUCCCUCUUUGUGCCUUGUAAUUUUAACUACUGUGUAACAGGCAGGUCAUUCUUGUAUUCACUUAGCAAGUUCAGACACCAUUGCUGGACUCUUGAGGCAAAGAUGACUGUGACAGAUGAGUACUCAAGGAACUGUGACAUAGUCUGAUACAGCUGCACAGAAGGGGCAGUAGAAGCUCAGACCAUGAACCAGGCUCUCCAGAAAGAUCCCUGUCUUCUAGACAUCAUGGAUCACCAUCUCAAAUGCAAGGAUCCUCGGGAUCCCUGUCUACCCCCACACAACUCUGACCAGCCACAUGGCCUUGAGAAUGAUUUUUCAGCUGUUCUGAGUUAUGUUGCUGGAUUCUUUGGCCACUCGAGCUGCUUCAUCCUCCUCUUCCUUGCUUCUUCCUACUCAUCAACAUCAUCAACAUGUUAGCAUUAUUUCAUUAUGAAUUUGCAUCCUGAGUGAGGUUUUGGAUUUUGACCUUAGUCUCCUCUCUGAACAAGAUCCCUUCUAAAUGGACUUCUGUUUUAAGCAAGGGAUUAAACUCUGAAAUAUUAUUCUA